AGUGAACGCUGGCGGUAGGCUUAACACAUGCAAGUCGAACGGCAGCACAGGAGAGCUUGCUCUCGGUGUGGCGAGUGGCGAACGGGUGAGGAAUACAUCGGAAUCUGCCCAUUCGUUGGGGAUAACCUAGGGAAACUUACGCUAAUACCGCAUACGCCUGUCUGGGGAAAGUGGGGGGUCUCAAGACCUCUCGCGAUUGGUUGAGCCGAUGUCGGCUUAGCUUGUUGGCGGGGUAGUGGUCCACCAAGGCGACGAUCCGUAGCUGGUCGGAGUGGAUGAUCAGCCACCCUGGACGUGAGACACGGUCCAGAAUCCUACGGGGGGCGGCAGUGGGGAAUAUUGGACAAUAGGCGGAAGCCUCAUCCAGCGAUAUCGCGUGGGUGAAGAAGGCGGCCGUGUUGUUAAGAACCUCUGUCGGGAGAGAAAUCUGUCUGGCUAGUACGCUGGGAGGAUGACGGUACCCAGAGAAUAAGCGCCGGCUAACUUCGUG
rnacentral:rRNA from 1 species